rnacentral:ncRNA from 1 species
GGUGUCGAAAGACUCAAUAAGGAAGCCGGUCGAAGCCGGCGCGGUCCCGCCGCUGUAAGGGGAGCGAGUCUGCAUAAGUUAUGUCAUUGGGGAAACCUGAGAAGGCGCAGACAAGCCAUGAACCUAAGCCAGAAGAAUUGCCUGUUUAG